CAGGGAGAGGAGGGAUGUGUUGCAGCAGAGUGGAUCGCUUACUCAAGACUUGCAGGAGUUGGUGACUGGGUGUUACCUGGGCGUUACCGGCACCACGUAUACCAAUGGCAAGACACUGCUGGGAAUCUUAUAGCAACCAUCAAGACUCACCACCCACAAGCACCAGCAUUAUCUCCAAUACCAAGAUACAUCUAUGUGUGAAAGGUUGUCAUCACAGGAGGAGGAAUCAUCAACAGAAGAGGUUCAGUAAUCAAAAGUGUCUUGUAGUUUAUUCUUAUUUAAUAAGUAACAUACAACAGUUCAUACAAAUACCUA